GACGAACGCUGGCGGCGUGCUUAACACAUGCAAGUCGAACGGAAAGGCCCUGCUUUUGUGGGGUGCUCGAUUGGCGAACGGGUGUGUAACACGUGAGUAACCUGCCCUUGACUUUGUGAUAACUUCAGGAAACUGGGGCUAAUACCGGAUAGGAGCUCCUGCUGCAUGGUGGGGGUUGGAAAGUUUCGGCGGUUGGGGAUGGACUCGCGGCUUAUCAGCUUGUUGGUGGGGUAGGUGCUUACGAAGGGUUUGAAGGGUAGCCGGCCUGAGAGGGUGACCGGCGACCAUGGGACUGAGGUACGGAGCAGACUCGUACGGGAGGCAGCAGUGGGGAAUAUUGCACAAUGGGCGGAAGCCUGAUGCAGCAACGCCGCGUGCGGGAUGACGGCCUUCGGGUUGUAAACAGAUUUGGACUGUGACGAAGAGUGAGUGACGGUAAUGGGUAAAGAAGCAACGGCUAACUACGUG
rnacentral:rRNA from 1 species